rnacentral:rRNA from 1 species
GACGAACGCUGGCGGCGUGCUUAACACAUGCAAGUCGAACGGGAACCUUUAUUUCGGUAAAGGUGAGAGUGGCAAACGGGUGAGUAACACGUAGGCAACCUGCCGACAGGAUGGGGACAACAUUCCGAAAGGAAUGCUAAUACCGAAUGGAGUCCGGGGAUGGCAUCAUCCUCGGAUAAAAGAUGGCCUCUGAAUAUGCUAUCGCCUGUCGAUGGGCCUGCGUCUGAUUAGCCAGUUGGCGGGGUAACGGCCCACCAAAGCGACGAUCAGUAGCCGGUCUGAGAGGAUGAACGGCCACAUUGGGACUGAGACACGGCCCAGACUCCUACGGGAGGCAGCAGUGGGGAAUCUUCCACAAUGGGCGAAAGCCUGAUGGAGCAACGCCGCGUGAGUGAAGAAGGUCUUCGGAUCGUAAAGCUCUGUUGCACGGGACGAAAACCGGGUUUGAGAAUAUUGAACCCGGGGACG